ACGAAAUGGCUGAAUAGAAGGAGAAAACCAAUGAGAAACUAUACUUAUUCAGUGCAACGAGCAGCAGGGUUACAACUCCAAAAUCGCUAACUCGAAACUCGCCAUAUUUUUUUGCAGGAUAUAAUCUGACUGAGCUUGGACGACAGUUUUGGACAUCACAACGCCGAAGUUCUAUUGAUGAUUAUUGUUUGGUGAUUCGCCUGAGUUUCUCAGCCGUGGGUGUCGCUGGAUCAUCUAGGGUGUUGUUCAUUUACGGUCAAGAAGCUGAUGAGGAAUUAGAAUGGAUGGAUUAUCUAACUUGGUGUGGAGAUGGGCUGUCGAUGGGUGUGUUG
rnacentral:lncRNA from 1 species